GCAGGUUCUCUUGAUGAUGCUGGUGGCAGUAAUAGAAAAGAGGACAAACAGAGGUCCUAUUAUCAUUCUUGCCGUGAUAUGGUGAAAUCCCUGUCAAUCCAUAUCACCCAUUUGUUUCAAGAGAUGGGCAAAGUAAUGCUACUUCCCUCACGUAGGCGGGAUGAUACACUCAAUGUGUCAGCUCCCUCAAAAUCUGUUGCUUCAACUUUUGCUUCAAUUGCUAUUGAUCACAUGAAUUUUGGAGGUCAUGUAACUUCUGGAUCGGAGGCAUCUGUGUCAACCAAAUGUCGUUAUUUUGGCAAGGUUAUUGAAUUUAUUGAUGGUAUUCUGCUGGACAAGCCUGAUUCUUGCAAUGCUGUUAUAUUAAAUUGCCUUUAUGGGCGUGGGGUUCUUCAGUCAGUGUUAACUACGUUUGAAGCUACUAGUCAGUUGCUCUUUGCUGUCAAUAGAGCUCCUACUUCUCCUAUGGAGACUGAUGAGACACAUACCAGGCAGGACGGAGUUGAGGAUGCGGACCGUUCAUGGAUAUAUGGUCCCUUAGGUAGUUAUGGGAAGCUGAUGGAUCAUCUGGCAACCUCAUCUUUAAUUCUAUCUCCUUUCACAAAGCAUUUACUGACUCAACCUUUGGUUAGUGGUGAUAUCCCAUUUCCACGGGAUGAGGAAACAUUUGUAAAGGUUCUUCAAUCCAUGGUAUUGAAGACCGUACUUCCCGUUUGGACACAUCCACAAUUCACAGAAUGCAAUUAUGAUUUCAUUGCAGCUGUUCUCAACAUCAUUAGACACAUCUACUCUGGAGUAGAAGUCAAAAACACAAACAGUACUGCUACUCGUGUGUCUGGUCCUCCCCCAAAUGAAACUACAAUUUCUACAAUUGUUGAAAUGGGGUUCUCCAGGAAUAGAGCAGAAGAGGCUUUGAGGCAGGUUGGUUCAAACAGUGUUGAGCUGGCGAUGGAGUGGUUGUUCUCACAUCCAGAGGAAGUACAAGAAGAUGAUGAGCUUGCCCGUGCCCUUGCCAUGUCACUUGGGAACUCUGGAUCGGAGGCAAAGGAAGAUGUUCCCAAAGAAAGUAGCAUGACCAUUGAAGAAGAAAUGGUUCAGCCUCCUCCUGUUGAUGAGUUGUUGUCCACAUGCCAUAAGCUUCUACAGAUGAAAGACUCUCUUGCUUUUCCUGUUAGGGAUCUUCUUGUGAUGAUAUGCUCCCAGAAUGAUGGUGAACAUCGGUCAGCUGUGGUUUCAUUUAUUGUUGAACAAGUUAAGGUUUCUAGUAAUGUCUCUGAGGAUGGAAACCGCAGCAUUCUUUUUAAUCUCUU
rnacentral:misc_RNA from 1 species